UACGUAGGGUGCGAGCGUUAAUCGGAAUUACUGGGCGUAAAGCGUGCGUAGGCGGUUCGUUAAGUUCGUUGUGAAAGCCCCGGGCUCAACCUGGGAAUGGCAAUGGAAACUGGCGGGCUGGAGUAUGGCAGAGGGGGGUGGAAUUCCGCGUGUAGCAGUGAAAUGCGUAGAGAUGCGGAGGAACACCGAUGGCGAAGGUAGCCCCCUGGGCCAAUACUGACGCUGAGGAGCGAAAGCGUGGGGAGCGAACAGG
rnacentral:rRNA from 1 species